AGUGAACGCUGGCGGUAGGCCUAACACAUGCAAGUCGAACGGCAGCACAGGAGAGCUUGCUCUCUGGGUGGCGAGUGGCGGACGGGUGAGGAAUACAUCGGAAUCUACUCUGUCGUGGGGGAUAACGUAGGGAAACUUACGCUAAUACCGCCUACGACCUACGGGGGAAAGCAGGGGACCUUCGGCCCUUGCGCGAUGGAAUGAGCCGAUGUCGGAUUAGCUAGUUGGCGGGGUAAAGGCCCACCAAGGCGCCGAUCCGUAGCUGGUCGGAGAGGAUGAUCAGCCACACUGGAACUGAGACACGGUCCAGACUCCUACGGGAGGCAGCAGUGGGGAAUAUUGGACAAUGGGCGCAAGCCUGAUCCAGCCAUACCGCGUGGGUGAAGAAGGCCUUCGGGUUGUAAAGCCCUUUUGUUGGGAAAGAAAUCCAGCUGGCUAAUACCCGGUUGGGAUGACGGUACCCAAAGAAUAAGCACCGGCUAACUUCGUGCCAGCCGCCGCGGUAA
rnacentral:rRNA from 1 species